CAUCACCUCCUCUUGCAUGACCUCCUGCUUGCUGCCAUGAUUAUGCAAACUCAGUGCUGGGUGUCCAUCAGUACUUAUGGGGAGCUGCACAACUGUGAGCUGCAGCUGAGUUCACAUCAACACCCACAGGAUGAAGGACACACUCUCACUAAUACUGCUACUCAGCACCACAGCCUUGGUGGAAGGUGAAAGCCUGGAGUCCAUUCCCUCCAGUGCAGUGCUGAAGAAACCUGGUGACACUAUCAGUCUCUCCUGUAGGGGAUCUGGGUUUACUUUUGCAGAUUAUGACAUGCACUGGAUCAGACAGCCUGUUGGGAAAGCACUAGAGUGGAUGGGUUAUGAUGGUGACACCAACUAUGCCAACAGUGUCCAAGGACGCAUAGAAAUCACCAGAGACGACCCCGACAGCAUGGCGUAUCUGAAACUGUCUGGUCUGAGGGCAGAGGACUCUGCUGUGUAUUACUGUGCAGGAGAGACACAGUGACACAAACACCAACUGGAGAUGUACAAAAACAUUGUCACUGUCUUGUAAUGAGCAAUCAUACAGAUAGCCACCAGGGGGCAGUGAUGGCCCAUAGUAACAUAACAGCUGCACAUUCAGAAACAUGAAGUGCCACUAA